rnacentral:rRNA from 1 species
AUUGAACGCUGGCGGCAUGCCUUACACAUGCAAGUCGAACGGUAGCGGGCCUUCGGGUGCCGACGAGUGGCGAACGGGUGAGUAAUGUAUCGGAACGUACCUUUCAGUGGGGGAUAACGUAGCGAAAGUUGCGCUAAUACCGCAUAUUCUGUGAGCAGGAAAGCAGGGGAUCGCAAGACCUUGCGCUGAUUGAGCGGCCGAUAUCAGAUUAGCUAGUUGGUGAGGUAAAGGCUCACCAAGGCGACGAUCUGUAGCGGGUCUGAGAGGAUGAUCCGCCACACUGGAACUGAGGCACGGUCCAGACUCCUACGGGAGGCAGCAGUGGGGAAUUUUGGACAAUGGGGGCAACCCUGAUCCAGCCAUGCCGCGUGAGUGAAGAAGGCCUUCGGGUUGUAAAGCUCUUUCGGCCGGGAAGAAAUCGUAUCAGCUAAUACCUGGUGCGGAUGACGGUACCGGCAUAAGAAGCACCGGCUAACUACGUGCCAGCAGCCGCAGUAAAAC